rnacentral:rRNA from 1 species
UACGUAGGGUGCAAGCGUUAUCCGGAAUUAUUGGGCGUAAAGAGCUCGUAGGCGGUUUGUCGCGUCUGCUGUGAAAACUGGAGGCUCAACCUCCAGCCUGCAGUGGGUACGGGCAGACUAGAGUGCGGUAGGGGAGAUUGGAAUUCCUGGUGUAGCGGUGGAAUGCGCAGAUAUCAGGAGGAACACCGAUGGCGAAGGCAGAUCUCUGGGCAGUAACUGACGCUGAGGAGCGAAAGCGUGGGUAGCGAACAGG